AGUGGGAAUAUUGGUCAAUGGAGGAAACUCUGAACCAGCUACGCCGUGUGCAGGAUGAAGGUCUUUUAGGUUGUAAACUGCUUUUGUAUAGAAAUAAAACUCCUACGUGAUAGGAGCUUGAAGGUACUAUGCGAAUAAGUGUCGGCUAAUUCCGUGCCAGCAGCCGCGGCAAUACGGAAGACACAAGCGUUAUUCGGAUUUAUUGGGUUUAAAGGGUGUGUAGGCUGUUUAUUAAGUCAGUAGUGAAAGCUUACAGCUUAACUGUAAAAUUGCUAUUGAUACUGGUAAACUUGAGUAAGAUUGGAGCAUUUGGAAUGUAUGGUGUAGCGGUGAAAUGCAUAGAUAUCAUACAGAACACCGAUAGCGAAGGCAGGUUGCUAAAUCUUUACUGACGCUGAGUGCACGAAAGCGUGGGGAUCAAACAGGAUUAGAUACCCUGGUAGUCCACGCCCUAAACGAUGAUCACUAGCUAUUGGAAAAACGAUAUUCAGUGGCUUAGCGAAAGCGAUAAGUGAUCCACCUGGGAAGUACAGUCGCAAGAUUGAAACUCAAAGGAAUUGACGGGGGUUCGCACAAGCGGUGGAGCAUGUGGUUUAAUUCGAUGAUACGCGAGGAACCUUACCAAGGCUUAAAUGUAUUACGAAUAAGCUGGAAACAGCUUAGUCUGUACGACGUAUUACAAGGUGCUGCAUGGUUGUCUUCAGUUCGUGCUGUGAAGUGUUUGGUUAAGUCCUAUAACGAGCGCAACCCCUAUUGUUAGUUGCCAUCGGGUAAAGCCGGGGACUCUAACAAAACUGCCGGUGUAAACUGUGAGGAAGGUGGGGAUGAUGUCAAAUCAU
rnacentral:rRNA from 1 species